ACGGGUGAGUAAUGCCUAGGAAUCUGCCUGGUAGUGGGGGACAACGUUUCGAAAGGAACGCUAAUACCGCAUACGUCCUACGGGAGAAAGCAGGGACCUUCGGGCCUUGCGCUAUCAGAUGAGCCUAGGUCGGAUUAGCUAGUUGGUGAGGUAAUGGCUCACCAAGGCGACGAUCCGUAACUGGUCUGAGAGGAUGAUCAGUCACACUGGAACUGAGACACGGUCCAGACUCCUACGGGAGGCAGCAGA
rnacentral:rRNA from 1 species